rnacentral:rRNA from 1 species
UACGUAGGGGCAAGCGUUGUCCGGAAUUAUUGGCGUAAAGAGCGUGUAGGCGGUCCGGUAAGUCCGCUGUGAAGUCGGGCUCAACCCUCGAAUGCCGGUGGAUACUGUCGGCUAGAGUGCGAAGAGGCGAGUGGAAUUCCUGGUGAUCAGCGGUGAAUGACGCAGAUAUCAGAGACACUAUUGCGAGCAGCUCGCUGACGUACUGACGCUGAGACGCGAAGCGUGGAGCAAC